CCCAAGCCCUAUUUGCAUUGAAAGAAGAACUCAUCUGAUUCACUUUUCUGUUCUCACUUCUUUUCGCGCGCUCAGCAGCAGCCAAUAAGGCAACAACCGCCUCUCACUCUCACCGGAGCAGCAAUCGCCGGCGACCAGAAGGCAGUGUAUCUCUCAGUCUCUCUUCUCAGCACAAGUAGGAAAAAACUGUGUUGCUGGCUUGAUGCCUGAAAUGUAUUCACCAAAUGAACAUACUCACACAGACCCACUUGCUGAAAACAAUCUUCAGCCAUUCUUCGUGCUGCACAAGGCAUCAAAGUCUUCAGAGUCUACUGCAAUAUCUCCCGGAAGACCUACCAAAAGAAGACUUGACUCUUCACCAAAAGUAUCAUUAAACAAUGAGAACGUGAAAAUGGAAGCUUUUCAGUGUGUAUGGUCAAAAAUUGAAUCCAAGAUUAAGGAUGUCUUGAGGAGUAUAAAUGCCGACGUGUUUGAUGAGAUAGGACAAUGGGUUCGUGAAUCUUUUAAUGAAAUUUGUUCGUGUAGAGGGCCUGUUGAUCCAUCAAAGUCAAGUCUUCCAUACCCUUUUGUUCAUAAUGGUGGUUUAGUUAAAAAGCUCUUCACUGGUCUGGUCUUCACCAAGAAUAUUGAAACUGUCGAUGACAUAUUAACUUUUGCUGAACUUGGUUUAAACUUGAAAUCUCGUGGAUGCUAUGUGGCUAAUAUUUCCUCCUUGGAUUUUUCUACCAAGAAUGGCAUUGGGGGCAGUCUCAGAGCGUUUCUGAGACAAUUGCUUAUGGUUGACAUUGAAGCAGCUGAUAUUUCGCUCUUAGCAUCAUGGUAUAGUGACCAUGGCAAGUAUGAGAAACCAGUGGUUGUAAUUAUUGAGGAUAUGGAGAGGUGUUCUGGGGCUCUCUUGUCAGAUUUCAUCAAUAUGUUAAGUGAAUGGUCUGUUAAGAUUCCAAUCAUCCUAAUUGCUGGUGUUGCUACAAGUGCUGAUGCUCCCAGAAAUGUGCUCACUGCUCGUGCACUUCAAUAUUUGUCUACAUCAAUAUUCUCUCUGAAAUGCCCAGCUGAAAAGUUGGAUACAAUCAUUGAGGCUGUUCUAGUAAAAAAUUGUGCUGGCUUCAGUGUUGGCCACAAGGUGGCGACUUUCUUGAGGAACUAUUUUUUGAGACAAGAUGGAACUGUUACUUCAUUUGUUAGAGCCUUAAAGAUGGCAAUAAUCCAACAACUUUCCAUCGAGCCUCUUAGCUUUGUGCUCAAGCUUUUAGUUGAUGAGGGAGAUAGUAAGAGGUCAUGGUAUGAGGAUCUUGCUAAUUUGCCAGAGGAAUUGAUAAAGCAUUCUUUUGAGCUUCCAUCUUACAGGAAAUAUUCAGUAAAUCGGAAUAAUCAUGUAGAACUAAAUGCUAUGAGUCUAGGCCAUGGACUAUCAGAAAUGCAGAGGCUGCAGGAACUAUGGAGAUCUCGCCUUAUGUGUUUAUAUGAAGCUGGAAGGUACCAUAAAGUUGCAUUGCUGGACUUGUAUUUGGAGGCAUUAGAUCCUGAGUUAUACAACUCCAGGUUAUCUAAUCAAGGCUGUGAUAGUGCAAAAGAUAGGAGCUUGUUGUCAAAUAAUGAUAAACUUUUCAAGCUACAAAAGGCUGAGGUUACCAAUCAAGUCAUCCGCAAAAUAAGGGAUCUACCAGCUGCGAAGCUAUCCCAGUUGCUUAAGAGUUGGGAGAGGCUCACCAAAGGGACAAUGGAGGUUCAUGAGAAGAUUAUGGAGCUACAGUCUCAAAUGGUAUCAGAGGAUGUCAAAAGUCACAAAGCAGAAUUAACUGAUAUAUCAAAGAGACAUAUCAAUCGACGCUGUUUAAAUGUGGAGAAAGAUGCAUGCACAUCAAAUGACAAAGCUGUGACUUUAGCAGGUCAAAUGAUAAGGGACACCAUGCAGCCCAUUGAGUGUAUACCAUUUCAUGAACUUAUUUGCUUCAAGGAUGUUGACAAUCUCCAAUCAGUUAAGUUUCCUGAUUUUCAUUCAAGACAUGACCGAUCACAGUAGUAUGCUUCUAUAUUUAUCAUCUGCACUUCAAUCUAAAGACAUGCGUGCUUACUUAAGGGUUUCUGGUAAUUAAAAUUUCCUUUGUGCUUCAUUCACCUCAAUCUUUUUUCCCAGCAAGCACAUGGUUACCUAGUAAGUAUAAUUACUAUUACUAUUUGAAGUGCGACAGUUCUUGUAACCUGGUAAAGUUUGAUGCUGAUUGCAUUAUACUAUGUUUAAUAGAUAUCUUAACUGUAGCUAUCAACUUUGUCGUUAGUCAGACCAAGUUUCAGGAAUACCUUUGUAUUUUGAUCUCAUAUGUGCAAGAAGUUAGAUAGUUCAACUUAUGGUACUAUUGGUAAUUCUAAAAUAAUGUGUUUAUUACUUGCUUUUGCAUUUUCCAUAGUUUUCUUUUCUUUUUCUUAUUUUCUUGUCGAUGGUGAACCAGAAAUCAAGGUUAUUAAGAUAGGGUAAGUAUGAUGUUUUUGUGAAUUUAUAAGUCAAGAUCAAUUUAUUUUGGCCGUAAUUCUUUGAUAACAAGGGAUGGCCUAGUGGAAAUGAACCUCUACCUCCAAUCAUAAUGUUGGGUUCGAGUCAACAAGAGAGCAAAAUGGGAAAGAUCAGCCACCCAGAUGAGACUCCCGCUGAAAAACUUUCUUUUUCCGGGGAAAGAACCCGUAUUUGGCUCCUGCCUUGGGGGGUAUGGCUUUGCCAUGUCACCUAUGCUUUGGCUGGUGAUCCAAGAAGAAGAAUUCAAAUUGAUCUCUUGAAUUUCUACAAAAUUCUCAAGUGUGGAUGUUGCAGCAAUAGUGGUGGUACACUUUCACCAUCUGUGCAUGAUACCUCAAUAAUGUAUACACUGGCUCAAGAGCAUGGUGAUCUCAUUAAUCUUCAUGACUGGUUUCAAUCUUUUAAAGCAUCUAUUUCAAGCUCAGGAAAGAAAGGGUUGAAGAAGUUGGCCUCACCGAAGAAAAGAAAGGAGAACACCUCUUCUCAAAACAAUUCUGAUGCAUUGUUGCAAGCAAGGUUUUGCAGAGCUGUGAUGGAGCUGCAGAUUACAGGGUUGCUUCGUAUGCCAAGCAAACGGCGCCCUGACUGUGUGCAGAGAGUGGCUUUUGGAGUGUAAUCAUAUUAUAUUAAAACUGGAAAGUUCAUUGGAUUAUGUUUUUGCCCCACUAUAAUUAAAAUGUUGUAAAACAUAUAAUUAUAUUAUCAUUUGAAGUACAUGAAUGUGUAAUGAUUUUUUGACUUCAUUCAA